rnacentral:rRNA from 1 species
UAAUAGUGUAUAUUAAAGUUGUUGCAGUUAAAAAGCUCGUAGUUGAAUGUUGGUGUCGAACGAGCGGUCAGCUUCGGCUGUACUGCUCUCUCGACUCCUUCCUUCUGUGGACUACGUCGCACUUUACUGUGUGGCGCUAGGACGCAGAUCGUUUACUGUGAAAAAAUUAGAGUGUUCAAAGCAGGCCGUACGCUUGAAUACAUUAGCAUGGAAUAAUGGAAUAGGACGUCGGGUCUAUUUUGUUGGUUCUAGGACCGUCGUAAUGAUUAAUAGGGACAGUUGGGGCCGUUUAUAUUCCGUAGUCAGAGGUGAAAUUCUUGGAUUUACGGAAGAUAAACUACUGCGAAAGCAUUCGGCAAGGAUGUUUUCGUUAA